CACACCGCCGUCACACCAUGGGAGUCGAUUGCUCCAGAAGUGGAUGCGCCAACCGCAAGGGAGGCAGUCCCCAAGGAGUGGUUGGUAACUGGGGUG
rnacentral:rRNA from 1 species